rnacentral:ncRNA from 2 species
AGCUUUCGCUGGGGGUGUUGUGUGCGGCAUGCCGCAUUCGACUGAGAGAGUCCCUUUGAACCUGAUUGAGGUAAUCCUCGCGCAGGGAAGCGUCUUGCCGAGGGG